CCUACCGAUUGGGUAAUGCGGUGAAAAUAGUGGAUGUUGCUUUGUGGUUUUGCACAGGACAGCAGAAAGUAUUUGAACCUUAAUAUCUAGAGGAAGGAGAAGUCGUAACAAGGUA
rnacentral:rRNA from 1 species